CAACAAGUUCUGCCAUUACUGCUUCAAAAGAAAUAUCACUGUCAUGAUCAAUAAUUUCUUUAAAAAAGCGGGAGGUUAUGAACGCAAGAUUACAGAAAUAUGUAUAAUGGUGUAAUAUUAGUAAAGGAUAAGGACUGAAAAAGUCAUUUUCUAAUUUGAGUUUAUAGAGAGAUUGCGCCACCCGGUGGAUGCCAAUUCACCUACAGGACUCUAGGCCGGUCAGAUUUAAUUUAAUUAGACACACACGUGCAGACGGGUCUGGAUGAAGAUAUCCGAUAGACCUUCUUGAAAAAUGUUUUUCUGUCGUUUCGUAUAAUUAGCCUACAGGUGACCCAUACCGGGUCGGCCCAGUAGAGGGGAUCAGCCUAUUGGAACAGGGAGACCAAUCUUGAAUUGCAACUGAAACAAGGAAGGCUGUUCUUCUCUGGCCUCAGCUCUGAGCUCCAACCCCUCCCAUCAGAGAGGGCUGGAGCUGAGCUAAUAUCACCCAGGAGACUCGGGCUCUGCUGCUCUCUGCUGGACUGGAGGGUCCUCGCUGGAGACCGGACACUCAGGUAUGGGGAGGACAGCUCAAAACUCAGGAAAAAAAGUAUUUUUUCCGAGAAUUCAUGCCGCAGCCAGAUGAAGUGGUUUGAAAAGGCAGCUGUAACUCAUGUUGUGUAGAAAAUGAUGAGACGGCAGAUGAGGAAGGUGAGGGUUUCAACAUGCUACUCGCACUUUGUUUUCCCCCCAGCGUGUAGCACGGUGGACUAUGGAGGCUGAAACCAGCUCUAAAGAAGUGUAAGGGUCUGUUUAAUGACGAUGUGGCUGUUCCAGUCAAAACAUUGAAGCCUAUAAAAAUGUAUAACCACCAUAUUACUGGGAAUAAAUUAAAUCCCAAAAGCACAGAGCUUUCUUCUGAGUGACUAGAUCAUUUCACUUCAUUUAU